rnacentral:rRNA from 1 species
GUGUCCCUACGGGGGGCAGCAGUGGGGAAUAUUGCACAAUGGGGGAAACCCUGAUGCAGCGAUGCCGCGUGGAGGAAGAAGGUUUUCGGAUUGUAAACUCCUUUUAUCAGGGACGAUAAUGACGGUACCUGAAGAAAAAGCUCCGGCUAACUACGUGCCAGCAGCCGCGGUAAUACGUAGGGAGCGAGCGUUGUCCGGAAUUACUGGGUGUAAAGGGAGCGUAGGCGGGACGGCAAGUCAGAUGUGAAAACUGAGGGCUCAACCUUCAGCCUGCUUUUGAAACUGCUGUUCUUGAGUGAAGUAGG